rnacentral:rRNA from 1 species
GAUGAACGCUGGCGGCGUGCUUAACACAUGCAAGUCGAGCGAAGCAAUUUAAGUGAAGUUUUCGGAUGGAUCUUAGAUUGACUGAGCGGCGGACGGGUGAGUAACGCGUGGAUAACCUGCCUCACACAGGGGGAUAACAGUUAGAAAUGACUGCUAAUACCGCAUAAGCGCACGGCAUCGCAUGAUGCAGUGUGAAAAACUCCGGUGGUGUGAGAUGGAUCCGCGUCUGAUUAGGUAGUUGGUGGGGCAACGGCCCACCAAGCCGACGAUCGGUAGCCGACCUGAGAGGGUGACCGGCCACAAUGGGACUGAGACACGGCCCAAACGCCUACGGGAGGCAGCAGUGGGGAACAUUGCACAAUGGGCGAAAGCCUGAUGCAGCGACGCCGCGUGAGUGAAGAAGUAUCUCGGUAUGUAAAGCUCUAUCGGCAGGGAAGAAAAUGACGGUACCUGACUAAGAAGCCCCGGCUAACUACGUGCCAGCCGCCGCAGUAA